AGAGUUUGAUCCUGGCUCAGAUUGAACGCUGGCGGCAUGCCUAACACAUGCAAGUCGCACGCGAAAGGGGGCAACCCCGAGUAGAGUGGCGGACGGGUGCGUAACGCGUAGGAAUAUACCUGGUAGUGGGGGACAACCCGGCGAAAGCCGGGCUAAUACCGCAUACGAUCCACGGAUGAAAGCAGGGGACCGCAAGGCCUUGCGCUAUCAGAUUAGCCUGCGUCGGAUUAGCUAGUUGGUGAGGUAAUGGCUCACCGAGGCAACGAUCCGUAGCUGGUUUGAGAGAACGACCAGCCACACUGGGACUGAGACACGGCCCAGACUCCUACGGGAGGCAGCAGUGGGGAAUAUUGGACAAUGGGGGCAACCCUGAUCCAGCAAUGCCGCGUGUGUGAAGAAGGCCUUCGGGUUGUAAAGCACCUUCGAUGGGGAAAAACAAGCCAGACCUAACACGUCUGGCCCUGAUGGUACCCAGAGAAGAAGCACCGGCUAACUCUGUGCCAGCAGCCGCGGUAAUACAGAGGGUGCAAGCGUUAAUCGGAAUUACUGGGCGUAAAGGGUGCGUAGGUGGUUUGUUAAGUCAGGCGUGAAAUCCCUGGGCUCAACCUGGGAACUGCGUUUGAUACUGGCAGACUCGAGUCUGGUAGAGGGUAGUGGAAUUCCGCAUGUAGCGGUGAAAUGCGUAGAUAUGCGGAGGAACAUCAGUGGCGAAGGCGGCUACCUGGACCAAGACUGACACUGAGGCACGAAAGCGUGGGGAUCAAACAGGAUUAGAUACCCUGGUAGUCCACGCCCUAAACGAUGGGUACUAGACGUUGGGAAGUUUAUCUUCUUGGUGUCGCAGCUAACGCAAUAAGUACCCCGCCUGGGGAGUACG
rnacentral:rRNA from 1 species